GCCUGGGUGGCUCAGUGGGUUAAGCGACCGACUUCAGCUCAGGUCAAGGUCUCACCGUCUGUGAGUUCGAGCCCCGCCUCAGGCU
rfam:Felis catus isolate Cinnamon breed Abyssinian chromosome B3, whole genome shotgun sequence.